UGUGGCUCUCUUCACCCUCCUCCUCUUCCUCAAGUGCUUCCAUUGGCUGGCUGAAGACCGGGUGGACUUUAUGGAGAGAAGUCCCAACAUAUCUUGGCUCUUCCAUUUCCGCAUUGUCUCUCUCAUGGUCCUUCUGGCCAUCCUAGAUUUCCUGUUUGUCAGCCACGCUUACCACAGCAUCCUGACCCGGGGGGCUUCCGUCCAGCUGGUCUUUGGCUUUGAGGUGAGCAGAUACCUAUAAUAAUAAGA